rnacentral:rRNA from 1 species
AGUGAACGCUGGCGGUAGGCCUAACACAUGCAAGUCGAACGGCAGCACAGUAAGAGCUUGCUCUUACGGGUGGCGAGUGGCGGACGGGUGAGGAAUACAUCGGAAUCUACUUUUUCGUGGGGGAUAACGUAGGGAAACUUACGCUAAUACCGCAUACGACCUACGGGUGAAAGCAGGGGAUCUUCGGACCUUGCGCGAUUGAAUGAGCCGAUGUCGGAUUAGCUAGUUGGCGGGGUAAAGGCCCACCAAGGCGACGAUCCGUAGCUGGUCUGAGAGGAUGAUCAGCCACACUGGAACUGAGACACGGUCCAGACUCCUACGGGAGGCAGCAGUGGGGAAUACUGGGCAAUGGGCGCAAGCCUGAUCCAGCCAUACCGCGUGGGUGAAGAAGGCCUUCGGGUUGUAAAGCCCUUUUGUUGGGAAAGAAAAGCAGCAGGUUAAUACCCCGCUGUUCUGACGGUACCCAAAGAAUAAGCACCGGCUAACUUCGUG